CCAGUGAACUUCUUAGACAUGCAAAUUUUAGGCCCCUACCACAGACCUACUGAAUUAGAGACUGGUGGUGGAGCCCAGAAAUCUGCAUUUUAA
rnacentral:miRNA from 14 species